rnacentral:rRNA from 1 species
GAUCCUGGCUCAGGAUAAACGCUGGCGGCGCACAUAAGACAUGCAAGUCGAACGAACUUAACCAUUAGUUACUAUUGGAGUCGGUUAGUGGCGGACUGGUGAGUAACACGUAAGCAACCUGCCUAUCAGAGGGGAACAACAGUUAGAAAUGACUGCUAAUACCGCAUAUGCCUUAGAAUCACAUGGUUCAAAAGGGAAAGGAGCAAUCCGCUGAUAGAUGGGCUUGCGUCUGAUUAG